rnacentral:rRNA from 1 species
GUCAAAUUAUCAUGCCCCUUAUGACCUGGGCUACACACGUGUUACAAUGGACAGAACAAAGGGCAGCGAAACCGAGAGGUUAAGCCAAUCCCACAAAUCUGUUAUCAGUUCGGAUCGCAGUCUGCAACUCGACUGCGUGAAGCGGAAUCGCUAGUAAUCGCGGAUCAGCAUGCCGCGGUGAAUACGUUCCCGGGCCUUGUACACACCGCCCGUCACACCACGAGAGUUUGUAACACCCGAAGUCGGUGAGGUAACCUUUAUGGAGCC